GCCUUGACUCCAGCAAAGAUUCGCCUUGAGACGGAGGCCAAGAAGGGACAAAUUAACCUGCAGAAGGACAAUUUCACCUUGACUGAUACUUUAUUAUUCUCAUUAUUCCAGUUGUUCUAGCAUCAGUUAUUGAAAGGAACAUGCUUUCCCCCACAGCAUUGCACUGGCAUAUUUGUGGAAAAGCAAGUGACAAUCUUUGCCAAGGGAACACUAUGAACAAAGAAAUGAAGGCAUGAAUGUGUAUAGUAUUCUUGGGGAAUGGCAAGCACAAGUGAACACAGAGAGGUAGAAUGGAGUGGAAAAAAUAGAUCGUACCACGAUUAUGGGUUAAAGGAUGCCUUGCUAAGAAAUGACUCAUCUGCAUACUUGAAUGAUAACCACAAUUAAUUCUACCACCUUAAAAAAGAUUACAUCUGCAAAACUAUAAAACUCCUAGAAGAUAAUAUAUAAGAAAACCUAGAUGACCUUGAUUACGGUGAUGCCUUUUUAGGUAUAACACCAAAGACAUGAUCCAUGAAAGAAAUAAUCGAUAAGCUGUAUUUCACUAAAAUUAAAAAUUUAUACUCUGCAAAAGAUAACACCAAGAGAAUUGGAAGACAAGCCAUAGGUUGGGAGAAAAUAUUUGCAAAAGACACAUCUGAUAAAGGACUGUUAUCCAAAAUAUACAAAGAACUCAUAAAACUCAACAAUAAGAAAACAAACAACCCAAGUGAAAAAUGGGCCAAAGACAUUAACAGACACCUCGCCAAAAAAGAUAUACAGACGGCAAAUAAGCAUAUGAGAAUAUGUUUAACAUCAUAUGUCAUCAGGAAAUGAAAAUUAAAACAACAAUGAGAUACUACUACACAUCUAUUAAAAUGGCCAAAAUCUAGAACGCUGACAGUACCAAAUGCUGGUGAGGAUGUGAAGCAACAGGAAUUCUCAUUCAUUGUUGGUGGGAAUGCAAAAUAG